GACGAACGCUGGCGGCGUGCCUAAUACAUGCAAGUCGAGCGAGACUCUUCGGAGUCUAGCGGCGGACGGGUGAGUAACACGUGGGCAACCUGCCUGUAAGACUGGGAUAACACCGGGAAACCGGUGCUAAUACCGGAUAAUCCUUUUCCUCUCAUGAGGAAAAACUGAAAGUCGGUUUCGGCUGACACUUACAGAUGGGCCCGCGGCGCAUUAGCUAGUUGGUGAGGUAACGGCUCACCAAGGCGACGAUGCGUAGCCGACCUGAGAGGGUGAUGGGCCACACUGGGACUGAGACACGGCCCAGACUCCUACGGGAGGAAGCAGUAGGGAAUCUUCCACAAUGGACGAAAGUCUGAUGGAGCAACGCCGCGUGAGCGAUGAAGGCCUUCGGGUCGUAAAGCUCUGUUGUUAGGGAAGAACAAGUACCGGAGUAACUGCCGGUACCUUGACGGUACCUAACCAGAAAGCCACGGCUAACUACGUGCCAGCCGCCGCCGUAA
rnacentral:rRNA from 1 species